CGACCAGUGGCGUAGCGGUCUAACACAUUUCCGUAUAAAGGAGACGGUUGCGGGUUGGAAUCCCUCCUGGUUGG
rfam:Operophtera brumata OBRT01_Sc01678, whole genome shotgun sequence.